rnacentral:rRNA from 1 species
AUUGAACGCUGGCGGCAUGCCUUACACAUGCAAGUCGAACGGUAACAGGUCCUCGGAUGCUGACGAGUGGCGAACGGGUGAGUAAUACAUCGGAACGUGCCCGAUCGUGGGGGAUAACGGAGCGAAAGCUUUGCUAAUACCGCAUACGAUCUACGGAUGAAAGCAGGGGACCGCAAGGCCUUGCGCGGACGGAGCGGCCGAUGGCAGAUUAGGUAGUUGGUGGGAUAAAAGCUUACCAAGCCGACGAUCUGUAGCUGGUCUGAGAGGACGACCAGCCACACUGGGACUGAGACACGGCCCAGACUCCUACGGGAGGCAGCAGUGGGGAAUUUUGGACAAUGGGCGAAAGCCUGAUCCAGCCAUGCCGCGUGCAGGAUGAAGGCCUUCGGGUUGUAAACUGCUUUUGUAAGGAACGAAAAGCCUCUUUCUAACAAAGAGAGGUCAUGACGGUACCGUAAGAAUAAGCACCGGCUAACUACGUGCCAGCCGCCGCAGUAAAAC